AAGUCACAAAAAUUACGAUAGUUGAAUUGUAAAUUUUUUGACAUGGUAUAGUAUAUGCCAUCUGAAGCGUUUCCGUAUGAAAGACAAAUGUCACAAUACCAUGAUGUGAUGCUUGUUGUAGUGCAGAAAUAGAGGUUAUUUUUCAUGACGUUUUUCGGACAAUUGUAAAUAAGAAAUUUAAAAAAAAAACUGUGCUUUCUUCAUAACAAACCUACAUAGAUUCUGGAAUAUAAUAAUUUGGUAGUGAUAUUCUUCAUUUGUCGACAAUAACCUCAAAUUAUGGACAUUUAAAGUUUCUUUAUGGAUACUGAAGUUAGCAGACGCCUAAUAAUUUUUGGAUUUUUUUACAAAUGAUAAAUUAUAGAAAAAAAGUAUUCGAAAAAAUUGCACCUAUGGUUUUUUUAAAUUUUCUACAUGUGCGUAUUUUGAAUACAAAGAAAUGAGUUAUUUAUUCAAAAGGAAAAAAUUAUAAUACUUUUGGAAUCUGAUGUAAUAUUAUAACUUAUAAAGUUAAAAUAAUUAAUACUAAAUUUUAUAUACACCAAAAAAAUAUAUUUGAAAAAA